rnacentral:rRNA from 1 species
UACGUAGGGUGCAAGCGUUGUCCGGAAUUAUUGGGCGUAAAGAGCUCGUAGGCGGUCUGUCGCGUCUGCUGUGAAAACUCAGGGCUUAACCCUGAGCUUGCAGUGGGUACGGGCAGACUAGAGUGCGGUAGGGGAGACUGGAAUUCCUGGUGUAGCGGUGAAAUGCGCAGAUAUCAGGAGGAACACCGAUGGCGAAGGCAGGUCUCUGGGCAUUAACUGACGCUGGAGGAGCGGAAAAGCAUGGGGAGCGAACAGG